rnacentral:rRNA from 1 species
UUGAACGCUGGCGGCAUGCUUUACACAUGCAAGUCGAACGGUAACAGGCCGCAAGGUGCUGACGAGUGGCGAACGGGUGAGUAAUGCAUCGGAACGUGCCCAGUCGUGGGGGAUAACUACUCGAAAGAGUAGCUAAUACCGCAUACGAUCUAUGGAUGAAAGCGGGGGACCGUAAGGCCUCGCGCGAUUGGAGCGGCCGAUGUCAGAUUAGGUAGUUGGUGGGGUAAAGGCUCACCAAGCCAACGAUCUGUAGCUGGUCUGAGAGGACGGCCAGCCACACUGGGACUGAGACACGGCCCAGACUCCUACGGGAGGCAGCAGUGGGGAAUUUUGGACAAUGGGCGCAAGCCUGAUCCAGCAAUGCCGCGUGCAGGAAGAAGGCCUUCGGGUUGUAAACUGCUUUUGUACGGAACGAAACGGCUCUGGUUAAUACCCGGGGCUAAUGACGGUACCGUAAGAAUAAGCACCGGCUAACUACGUG